GGGGAAUUUUCCGCAAUGGGCGAAAGCCUGAUGGAGCAAUACCGCGUGGAGGAUGAAGGUUCGUGGAUCGUAAACUCCUUUUCUCAGAGAAGAAGAUCUGACGGUAUCUGAGGAAUAAGCUCCGGCUAACUCCGUGCCAGCAGCCGCGGUAAUACGGGGGGAGCAAGCGUUAUCCGGAAUGAUUGGGCGUAAAGCGUCUGUAGGUGGUUCUUUAAGUCUACUGUCAAAUACGUUGGCUCAACCAACGGCAGGCAGUGGAGUACUAAAGAACUAGAGUGCGGUAGAGGUAGAGGGAAUCCCUAGCGUAACAGUGAAAUGUGUAGAUUUUAGGGAGAACACCAGCGGCGAAGGCGCUCUACUGGGCCGAUACUGACACUGAGAGACGAAAGCUAGAGUAGCGAAUAGGAUUAGAUACCCUAGUAGUUCUAGCUGUAAACGAUGGAAACUAAGAGGAGGUAACCCUCUUCUGUAGCUAACGCGUUAAGUUUCCCGCCUGGGGAGUAUGCUCGCAAGAGUGAAACUCAAAGGAAUUGACGGGAGACCACACAAUAGGUGGAUUAUGCGGUUUAAUUUGAUGCAACGCAAAGAACCUUACCAGGGUUUGACAUGUAUAGAAUUUUUCAGAAAUGGAAAAGUGCUUCCUUUCUAUGAAAGGAAGAACUAUAACACAGGUGGUGCAUGGCUGUCGUCAGCUCGUGCGUUGACGUGUAUGGUUAAGUCCUGCAACGAGCGCAACCCUCGUCUUUAGUUACUUCUAAAAGUUCUCUAAAGAGACUGCGCGCGCAAGCGCUGAGGAAGGUGAGGAUGACGUCAAGUCAGCAUGCCCCUUACACCCUGGGCGACACGCGUAAUACAAUGGCUGGGACAAUCAGAAGCUACCCCGCAAGGGCACGCCAAUCUGCUAAACCCAGCCCUAGUUCGGAUUGUAGGCUGCAACUCGCCUACAUGAAGCCGGAAUCUAUAGUAAUCGCCAGUCAGCUAUAUGGCGGUGAAUACGUUCCUGGUCUCUGUACACACCGCCCGUCACAUCAAGAAAGAUGGUAGUGGAUUAAGUUACUAGUCUAACCUUUUGGAAGACGGUACCCACUCCAAGACUAUUGAUCAUGAUGAAGUCGUAACAAGGUAACC
rnacentral:rRNA from 1 species